UACAGAGGGUGCGAGCGUUAAUCGGAAUUACUGGGCGUAAAGCGCGCGUAGGCGGCUUUGCAAGUCGGGUGUGAAAUCCCCAGGCUUAACCUGGGAACUGCAUUCGAGACUGCAUUGCUAGAGUAUGGGAGAGGGAAGCGGAAUUCCGGGUGUAGCGGUGAAAUGCGUAGAUAUCUGGAGGAACACCGGUGGCGAAGGCGGCAUCCUGGACCAACACUGACGCUGAGUGAGCGAAAGCCAGGGGAGCAAACGGG
rnacentral:rRNA from 1 species